rnacentral:rRNA from 1 species
AUUGAACGCUGGCGGCAGGCCUAACACAUGCAAGUCGAGCGGAUGAAGGGGGCUUGCUCCUGGAUUCAGCGGCGGACGGGUGAGUAAUGCCUAGGAAUCUGCCUGGUAGUGGGGGAUAACGUCCGGAAACGGGCGCUAAUACCGCAUACGUCCUGAGGGAGAAAGUGGGGGAUCUUCGGACCUCACGCUAUCAGAUGAGCCUAGGUCGGAUUAGCUAGUUGGUGGGGUAAAGGCCUACCAAGGCGACGAUCCGUAACUGGUCUGAGAGGAUGAUCAGUCACACUGGAACUGAGACACGGUCCAGACUCCUACGGGAGGCAGCAGUGGGGAAUAUUGGACAAUGGGCGAAAGCCUGAUCCAGCCAUGCCGCGUGUGUGAAGAAGGUCUUCGGAUUGUAAAGCACUUUAAGUUGGGAGGAAGGGCAGUAAGUUAAUACCUUGCUGUUUUGACGUUACCAACAGAAUAAGCACCGGCUAACUUCGUGCCAGCAGCCGCGGUAAUACGAAGGGUGCAAGCGUUAAUCGGAAUUACUGGGCGUAAAGCGCGCGUAGGUGGUUCAGCAAGUUGGAUGUGAAAUCCCCGGGCUCAACCUGGGAACUGCAUCCAAAACUACUGAGCUAGAGUACGGUAGAGGGUGGUGGAAUUUCCUGUGUAGCGGUGAAAUGCGUAGAUAUAGGAAGGAACACCAGUGGCGAAGGCGACCACCUGGACUGAUACUGACACUGAGGUGCGAAAGCGUGGGGAGCAAACAGGAUUAGAUACCCUGGUAGUCCACGCCGUAAACGAUGUCGACUAGCCGUUGGGAUCCUUGAGAUCUUAGUGGCGCAGCUAACGCGAUAAGUCGACCGCCUGGGGAGUACGGCCGCAAGGUAA